UAAAACACACUGCUAUUCCUGAUACUGUGUAGUCUCAGCAGGAGGGACAUCCAUGGGGAUAAAGAUUCCAGAUUUCAGGAACGGAUUCUCAGGCAGUGAUUUAGAACAUUUGAAACCAAGGGAACAAGAGUGAAAUAAGUGGCUUAGAGUUAAGCAAGGGGGGAUAUUUCCCCACCCUGAAACAGGACUCUGCUCCACUCCAGUCCACAUCCCUGCCUCUCCCUAAAGCCACAGCUGUGCACCCAGAAACUUUCCAUCAGAAGUACUCAGCAUUGCCUCACAUGUUUAGGAUGACCUCCCUCCACCAACAAACCUUCAGCUGCCCAAAAAUCCACCUGGAAAUCUGGAUCACUUCAGACUGCACUAGGACAUAACACGAGGAUGUAAAGUCACUGAGGAAGGAGUACUUGCAAGGAGGGACUGAUGGUUAUGGAGGAAGGCCAGCAAAAAGAGUACAGAACAACAAAAGUGGUGGCAGAAAAACUGGGAAGGGGGAGCAAAAAUGGUAAAGUGACACCAUAAAGCUUUACUGGCUCUAAAGCAAGGGAAAAUUAUGAAAGCAUUUGUUUCUUCUGUUUCUGCCAAAGAAAAAUAGUAGGGCAUAAAAAGAGAAGGAAAAAAAAAUACAGAAUGCAGAAGAUGUGAAGAAAAAAGCCAGCAAAAUGAGAGGAAAUGAAGAGAGACGAGAAACAAGUGCUGGAAGUAAAGGAGUGGAUGGUGGGGGAGGAGGCAGCACAAAGAAGUCUGAUGAACAGGGCUUUUAGGCCAGGGAAGGCUCGGUUUUCACAACCUGACUCACACAGAAAGGGAGAGGCCCAAAUGAUUCAAUGCAGUGAAAGCAAUGGUGAGCGGUGAUUUCAGCACUGCAGAGACAACAGGAACCUAUUUCAGAUUUACAGGAUGGUUCUGUCGGGUUGCUUCAGCAUCUCAGCAACUUUGGAAGGUGGGCACUGCGUAGGUUUCUGUAUUGGGGACUUCCUUUCUUGAAAUCACGGGAUGGAAAUAUUUUUCUGUAGUGCAAAUUGAGACCCUGGAGCACAACCCUAU
rnacentral:lncRNA from 1 species